rnacentral:rRNA from 1 species
CCUACGGGAGGCAGCAGUGGGGAAUAUUGGACAAUGGGCGCAAGCCUGACCCAGCAACGCCGCGUGAGGGAAGAAGGCUUUCGGGUUGUAAACUUCUAUUAUCAGGGACGAAGCCAGUGACGAUCCCAUAGGAAUAAGCCACCGCUAGGGGGGUGGGGGGCGCCGCUGGGGUACGUAGGGGGCAAGCGUUCUCCGGAUUUACUGGGUGUAAAGGGCGUGGAGGCGGGACUGCAAGUCAGAUGUGAAAGCCAAGGGCUCAACCGGGGGACUGCAUUUGAAACUGUAGUGCUUGAGUACUGGAGAGGCAGACGGAAUUCCUAGUGUAGCGGUGAAAUGCGUAGAUAUUAGGAGGAACACCAGUGGCGAAGGCGGUCUGCUGGACAGCAACUGACGCUGAGGCGCGAAAGCGUGGGGAGCAAACAGGAUUAGAUACCCCGGUAGUC